rnacentral:rRNA from 1 species
UGUAGCGGUGGAAUGCGCAGAUAUCAGGAGGAACACCGAUGGCGAAGGCAGGUCUCUGGGCCGCAACUGACGCUGAGGAGCGAAAGCAUGGGGAGCGAACAGGAUUAGAUACCCUGGUAGUCCAUGCCGUAAACGUUGGGCACUAGGUGUGGGGCUCAUUCCACGAGUUCCGUGCCGCAGCAAACGCAUUAAGUGCCCCGCCUGGGGAGUACGGCCGCAAGGCUAAAACUCAAAGGAAUUGACGGGGGCCCGCACAAGCGGCGGAGCAUGCGGAUUAAUUCGAUGCAACGCGAAGAACCUUACCAAGGCUUGACAUGCACGAGAAGCCACCAGAGAUGGUGGUCUCUUUGGACACUCGUGCACAGGUGGUGCAUGGUUGUCGUCAGCUCGUGUCGUGAGAUGUUGGGUUAAGUCCCGCAACGAGCGCAACCCUCGUCCCAUGUUGCCAGCGGGUUAUGCCGGGGACUCAUGGGAGACUGCCGGGGUCAACUCGGAGGAAGGUGGGGAUGACGUCAAAUCAUCAUGCCCCUUAUGUCUUGGGCUUCACGCAUGCUACAAUGGCCGGUACAAAGGGCUGCGAUACCGUAAGGUGGAGCGAAUCCCAAAAAGCCGGUCUCAGUUCGGAUUGGGGUCUGCAACUCGACCCCAUGAAGUCGGAGUCGCUAGUAAUCGCAGAUCAGCAACGCUGCGGUGAAUACGUUCCCGGGCCUUGUACACACCGCCCGUCAAGUCACGAAAGUCGGUAACACCCGAAGCCCAUGUCCCAACCGUUCGCGGGGGGAGUGUCGAAGAGGGAACACAUAAUUCC